rnacentral:tRNA from 1 species
GGUCCCGUAGCUCAGCUGGAUAGAGCACCGGCCUUCUAAGCCGUAGGUCGCAGGUUCAGAUCCUGCCGGGAUCGCCA